UACGUAGGGUGCAAGCGUUAAUCGGAAUUACUGGGCGUAAAGGGUGCGCAGGCGGUUUUUUAAGUCAGCUGUGAAAUACCUGGGCUCAACCUGGGGACUGCAGUUGAGACUGGAAGGCUAGAGUGUGUCAGAGGGGGGUAGAAUUCCACGUGUAGCAGUGAAAUGCGUAGAGAUGUGGAGGAAUACCGAUGGCGAAGGCAGCCCCCUGGGAUAACACUGACGCUCAAGCACGAAAGCGUGGGGAGCAAACAGG
rnacentral:rRNA from 1 species